rnacentral:lncRNA from 1 species
UCGACGUGGCGAGAUCUAGAUCCUAUAUGAUUUUAGAUCGUUAGGACAUCCUACGUGAUUGCACGUGACAUGGUUAUGUUCCUUGUGGAGAAAGUGGCCCAUACGUGGGGCAUAUUCGUAUGUAGUGCAUGCGAAUGAUCUCCUUAGAUGAUCCCUUAUGUUAUACACUUGUUUUCUUUUUCCAAAUUAUACUAGUAGGAUAUAACUAACAAUCCACAUACUAAUAUACGAAUCUAUUAAUUCUGGCAUCUACUAACUGUAGCCACUUUUAUAUUAUCUAAUUAUAAAAAGUAAAGGAAAUCACGCUUAUGGACGAUCA